rnacentral:lncRNA from 1 species
AGCGAGGCUCCGUGCAGCCGCUGCCCGGGCUCCGUGGGGCCGCCUUCGCCGCCGGAAGCCCAGCCCCGAAAUGGCGGCGUGCGUUUGACCGGCGGCUCGUUGACGCGGCGAGCGGGGCGGGGGCUGUCCCCUCUCCGAGGUAACGCCGGGGCAGCCGGCGGCGCCAGGCUUUCCCCGAUACCCUGAGAAGUCCUCUGCGGCAGGGGAACGUACACAGACAUUACGUUUUUUUGGAAGUUCUAGAUGUAAAUUCCUGUGAUCCAACCCAAGGAAACAUGAGAAAGCAGGAAGUGAGAUGAGGGAAGAACCUAAGUGUUAGAAAGAGAAAAGGAGAAAGGGGGAAAAAGUCUCAUACAAACCUCAAGCAUAACUGGCCCAGGUUUAUUGCUCAGCAGGAGAGCACCUUUUGCUGGGUCUAGCAUAUGGCCAACAGAAGCUAUGUCAGUGUCUGCAAACUCAGCAAAUUCUGAAGGAAACUGGAUUAGAUGCCAGAAGAACAUCAGCCAGCUGUUUCACAAGACAGGCAAGAAGAGCUGGA